UCAGCAUUAAGGGGCCCCUGUAAGUCUGCUGGGGGUCCCUCUAAGUAUCUGUGGGUCCCACUCCUAGAGAUCACCCCACACACACAUAAAUGCCCUUUGGGGUUGACCCCUGAGAUGGUGUUUGACCUCUCAGAGUAUCUGCGGAUGUGCCCACAGCCUCUGUUGUCUCCUCUGAUGCUCUCGGCCACUGCUCCAUAAGCCCCAGAUUCUGAAAGUCAAGUUCUAGAUGUUGGAUCCCCAGAAGGCCCAACUGGAUUCUAGAACUCUCCAACUGGAACUGGAGGAAAUGGGCUUUUUCCACAGCUAGACGGGAGAAAGAGUUUUUGGGCUAUUCAGAUGUGUGCGGCUUGGUGACGGAUCAGAAGGACAAAUGCGGUUGCUCUCGGCACCCUGGUGGCAGUGUGUAUGUGUGCAGAGUUCGGCAUGACUACCCUUUCCCAAGAAACAAGAGUGGCUGAAGCAAUUGUGCAGUUGUGGCUUGUGUUUGUAAGAGAAAUAAACUGGAUACACCAGGGAUGCUGGAGUCCUCAGGAAGGUAGGAAAGGGGGCAGGGCCAGGGCGGUAUCUGUGUGGAGUGUGCGUGUUCCCCCAUGUCUGCGUGGGCUUUCUCUGGGUACUCUGGUUGUCUCCCAUAUCCCAGAGCUGUGCAUGUUCAGUUCACAGACGUGUUUACACGGUCCCUGGGUGAGUGAGUGUGGGUGUGUGUGACAGUGCCCUGGGAUGGGAUCGGCUGCCACCUUGUGCCUGGAGCUGCCAGGACGGGCUUAGGCCAUCAGUGACUCUGGACUGGAAUAAUUGGGCAGCUGCGAUGCCAGCAUGGCCAGAUGGCGACAUCUAGAGGCAGCCUCCGCCUCCCACUGCCCCGCCCUGCAGAACUCCCUGGCCCCUCAGGAUUUAGUGACCAACCCAACAACCAGGCAGAGCUCGGAAGAGGCCAAAGCUGAGGGCAGGGCCAGCAAAGGCCCUAAGACUCCAAGUGAACCAUGGACACUCUGCCCUCCCACAAGCCCGGGAGCACGCUGGCUUGUUGACAACAUUCCCUGUCCCCACCCCUGCACUGUCCCGUCCCCUGCACUGCUCUGUUUCAGAGGAAGAGAUUCGAGCUCAGCCAACUCUCCAACCCUUGGACGGGACGUCCUCACUUCCACCUGGAGACACAGGCCCAUCCUGUGGCCUGAGCCCCAAAAGAGAACACAGAAUGGCCCUCACCUUUUCUGUAGUGUUCCCUUUUAAGCUAAUUGUCCAUUUCCACCCACCCACACCCUCGGCCUCUCUGGCACCAGAUGAUCUUAGCCAACUCUCCUUGCUUUUCUCCACCACACGGUUUUUCCCCGGGUUCUCUGACCGCCUACUCUUUAGCUCAUUCCUCCUCACUGUCUUUCCCUCUGUCCUUCUGUCCUUCCUCACUCAGCCCACAAACAGCCUGUGAACCCCCAGGCAGGACAGGGGGCCAGGCCUGAGGCUGCAGGGAUGGGGUGGGAAGAGCCAAACAAGGACAAAGUCCCAACAGCCCUGGUGACAACACCACAGGGCAAGGAGGGGAUUGAGGCAGGACUUCCUGCUCUGCCCCCUACCCCCACCACCACGCUAGUAAAGAGCAAGACACGCCCACAGCCCUUCCUGAGACCCUGCAGGACCUUGCUCACUUUCCCCUUCGUGGAGGACAUCUGCGGGGCUCCUCCCUGCCCGCUGUCAAUGCAAAAGAAGCCAAACUCUGUAAAAUAAUUUUAAAAGGUUUAUUCUGAGCCAAAUUUGAGGACCAUGGCCCAGAGCCA